UUUGUUUUGCUCCAUCAUUCUCUUUCCAGAAUCAUCAGGAAGAGAGAAAAAACCCCGAAGUCUUCUACAAGUCUCCAGCAUCGCUCACCAUCUCACAGCAGCUGAUACCUUCAAUAUUUUGAGAGACAAGUUCAAAAAUGGAAAGACAAGGGCUUACCUUCAUACUGUACCUCCAAAUGUAGUGAGUGAAGCACUCCCAGCACAGAACCUACAAUACUCGGGUGGGCUUUCCCUACAAUUGUCUGGCAAAGUAAUAGAGCAAGAAGGAGGCAUUAUUUCUUGAACUGGAAUCAGUUGCUUGAGGCCAAGAAUUUCCAGCAGUGUGAGGACACCACCGAUUUCUAAGAAUUCAAUAAUGUACCGUUGACUGAAAAAAAAAGAAAAG